GUCCCUGUUGCGCAAUGAAUAGUAAUUUGGACUUUUAAUCCAAAGGUCGUGGGUUCGAAUUCCACCUGGGAUG